rnacentral:rRNA from 1 species
AUUGAACGCUGGCGGCAGGCUUAACACAUGCAAGUCGAGCGGGGUGAUGGUGCUUGCACUAUCACUUAGCGGCGGACGGGUGAGUAAUGCUUAGGAAUCUGCCUAUUAGUGGGGGACAACAUCUCGAACGGGAUGCUAAUACCGCAUACGUCCUACGGGAGAAAGCAGGGGAUCACUUGUGACCUUGCGCUAAUAGAUGAGCCUAAGUCGGAUUAGCUAGUUGGUGGGGUAAAGGCCUACCAAGGCGACGAUCUGUAGCGGGUCUGAGAGGAUGAUCCGCCACACUGGGACUGAGACACGGCCCAGACUCCUACGGGAGGCAGCAGUGGGGAAUAUUGGACAAUGGGGGGAACCCUGAUCCAGCCAUGCCGCGUGUGUGAAGAAGGCCUUAUGGUUGUAAAGCACUUUAAGCGAGGAGGAGGCUCUUUUGGUUAAUACCCAAGAUGAGUGGACGUUACUCGCAGAAUAAGCACCGGCUAACUCUGAGCCAGCAGCCGCCGUAA